UNAGGCCCUGGCACGUGCAUAACACAUGCCAGUCGAACGAUGAAGCAUUCUUCGGAAUGUGGAAGAGUGGCGAACGGGUGAGGAACACGUAAGAAUCUGCCCCUCGGUCGGGGACAACUCUUGGAAACGAGAGCUAAUACCCGAUACGCUGUGGAGUGAAAGAAUUUCGCCGAGGGAUGAUCUUGCGUCUGAUUAGCUAGUUGGUGUGGUAAUGGCACACCAAGGCGACGAUCAGUAGCUGGUCUGAGAGGAUGAACAGCCACAUUGGAACU
rnacentral:rRNA from 1 species